AUGUUUGCGAUGAAAUUUGGUUUCUGAGCUCUAGCCAGGGCAAGGAAUUAAAAGGGAAUCCGGUAAAAGCCGGAGCUGUCCCCGCAACUGUAACCCCUAUCGGUAAAGGCCGAUAAGUGAUCUGUGCCACAACGCCAUUGCGUCCAUUUUGGGAUGUGAGAAGGCCCACAGAUCCAGGGAAGCCAGGAGACCUGCCAUAUUUCGACUAUUCAA
rnacentral:ncRNA from 1 species